AUUGAACGCUGGCGGCAUGCUUUACACAUGCAAGUCGAACGGCAGCGCGGGGGCAACCCUGGCGGCGAGUGGCGAACGGGUGAGUAAUGCAUCGGAACGUAUCCUGUAAUGGGGGAUAACGUAGCGAAAGUUACGCUAAUACCGCAUACGCUCGAGAGAGGAAAGUGGGGGAUCGCAAGACCUCACGUUAUAGGAGCGGCCGAUGUCCGAUUAGCUAGUUGGUGGGGUAAAGGCCUACCAAGGCGACGAUCGGUAGCUGGUCUGAGAGGAUGAUCAGCCACACUGGGACUGAGACACGGCCCAGACUCCUACGGGAGGCAGCAGUGGGGAAUUUUGGACAAUGGGGGCAACCCUGAUCCAGCCAUGCCGCGUGAGUGAAGAAGG
rnacentral:rRNA from 1 species